rnacentral:rRNA from 1 species
GACGAACGCUGGCGGCGUGCUUAACACAUGCAAGUCGAACGGAAAGGCCCUGCUUUUGUGGGGUGCUCGAGUGGCGAACGGGUGAGUAACACGUGAGUAACCUGCCCUUGACUUUGGGAUAACUUCAGGAAACUGGGGCUAAUACCGGAUAGGAGCUCCUGCUGCAUGGUGGGGGUUGGAAAGUUUCGGCGGUUGGGGAUGGACUCGCGGCUUAUCAGCUUGUUGGUGGGGUAGUGGCUUACCAAGGCUUUGACGGGUAGCCGGCCUGAGAGGGUGACCGGGCACAUUGGGACUGAGAUACGGCCCAGACUCCUACGGGAGGCAGCAGUGGGGAAUAUUGCACAAUGGGCGGAAGCCUGAUGCAGCAUCGCCGCGUGCGGGAUGACGGCCUUCGGGUUGUAAACCGCUUUCGCCUGUGACGAAGCGUGAGUGACGGUAAUGGGUAAAGAAGCACCGGCUAACUACGUG